UUUGUCUGUCAAUUGUUGCUUUACUUCCUUUGUAAAAUGAGGUUAAAUUGAGUAUCACUGAAUAUUGUAUGCUUUUUUUCAGGAUCAGCUAAGAUGUUGUUUCACUGGAUUAUUUAAUUGGGCAUAUAAUUGGAUAAUUCUGUCCUCAACAUGGAAGUUAUGUUUUAUUCCUAACCAUCUAUAAUCCAUUCUCUAUGAAGUUCAGCCUGUCUGCCCUUCCUUUGGAAAUACACAGUUAGUCAACCAACAUAGAAACACACAAACUUGAAGGGAAAGAAUACUAUAAUGUGGAUCCUGGGGAUCAACAGUGAAACAUCUUAAUGACCCUCAUGACUAGGUCUUCAGGCUGUAACCUUUAUUGCUGAUGUAAGAUGAUCUGUUUGCAUAGCAUUAAAAUUUCCUGGUGUUUCUACCAUCCAGGAUCUUCUUAUGAGUGCAUGGGGACUGCUGUGGACCUUAACCUGUUUAUAAAAAUAUACCUUGGAGCAUGACCCUUUAUUCAUAGAAGGAUUCUCAAUGGGGAACUCAGUAAAUUAUGCACAGACUAACAGAAUAUACUCUCUUGGAACACUGAUACAAGAAUAUAAAACCAGAGAUGGAUGGAGGAUUUAAGAAGCACAUGAAUAAAUAUGAUUUUCAAACUAAGUCAAUCAUGAUGAUCAUGAAUUGUGGUUCACAGGAUGACAGAGAAAGGACCCAGGAUAGUGCAUUUUUCUAGAUCCUCUCCCAUUCAUAUCCUUCAUAUGCUGGCAUACAAAACAAUAGAUAAAUUGUAGUCAUUUAACAGACUGAAGUUUAAUCAAAUCAAAGUAUUGAAAAUGUGUUUUUCUGAUAGUAUGAGAUCUUCAAAAAAAUAAUUCUCACAGAUUUCAAAGUAUCUAAAUAUAACUUUUAAUUUAUGUAGUCCAAAUUGAAUACAGUUGUUAUGUAUGACUUUUAUACAUUGAAUCCUUAAUUUUUCAUCUUAUAUCUACAACACCCCUAGAAAAUACACAGAUAUUCAGAAGCUAGGUUUGGUGUAUUUAUUACUUUCCUUGAAUUGUAAAUGCAUUUUAUUUUUGUAUGUAUCAUGUCCUAUUUUGAAUUUAAGAUAGGUCUCAAUAAGAUCCCCUAUAAAGAUGCAAGUGUCCCAUAAUCUGUGAUUUAAUAAUAUCUUGAAUAUCUUUAUCAUCCAUCAUACUUAUUACAUAUGGAAUGAUUGAAGGUAUACAUUUGUUUUUUAAGACACUUUGUCAAGGUCAAAGCAUGAGAUAAUUGAGAUGAGUACUUUGACAUUAAUUUGUAACUUAAAAACUUCACAUCAUAAGUACACAAAUGAAGAAUGAAUAGGAGAUUUCAAUACAUUUAUUUUUGGAUCAUUUUCUCCUGGGUAAAAUUAGUUACUGAGAUAACUGAUAUGAGUCUUGAAAUGCAAUAACUUCAAAAUUGUGUGAUAACUUAUAGACUUUAUAAAAAUUAGGUGUAAAUUUUUAGGAAAGAAUUAAAAUAUUAAUCAAAUGUACAAUGUCCAAGGGUGUUUAUUUAAAUAUUAUCAUGUAAUAUCUUGAGUUUCUGUUUAUUUGUCCAAUUCAAAUUGAAGACAGUUGUUAUGUCUGGUUUUUAUACAUUGGAUCCUUUACUUUUAAUUUCUACAACCCCCUAAAAAUGACACAGAUAUUCAGAAGCUAGGUUUGGUGUAUUUUUUUUUUUACUUUCCUGGAACUGUAAAUACAUUUUGUUUGUGUUUGUCCUAUUUUGAAUUUAAUAGGUCUCAAUAAGACCCCUCCCCCCAUAAAGAUGCAAGUGUCCUAUAAUCUGUGAUAAUAUGUUGAAUAUUUUUAUCAUUCCAUAAAUUUUAUUCUUACUACACAUAUAGUGUUUGGAGUAAUGCACUUAGUUGUAUAGAACAAUAUUCAAGGUCAAAGCAUGAGAUUAUUGAGAUAACUACCUUUGUCAAUAAUUUGUAACCUUCAAACUUCACAUCUUAAGUGAAGAAUGGAUAGGAGAUUUUCUAUAGAUUUUUGGAUCAUUUUCCUACAGGAUAAUAUUACUGACUUGAAACAUUUCAUUAUAACCUAGAGACCAUAUCUGCUAUGUUAGGUGGCAUGGCAUAUUCUUUGGAAAGAAUUGAAAUGUUAUUCAAAUGUACAAAGUUCAAGGGUGUUUUAAAGACUAUAACCAAGUUAUACCUUAGAAUUCUCUAAAAAUCUUAUCACUGCAUAGAAUAAACACUGGUUGGAAUAAUAUAUGUUUUGAACUAAGGUCAAGACUGUGGAAUGAUAUGACUUUUAUUCAAGCGGUGCAGUACAACAACUCUGGUGAUUUACAUACCUGCAGUCAUAAAUAGAUACAUGUAGGCAUGGGGUAGACUCCCAUAGAUUUUAAGAUCUUCAUUCAAAAGUAUAGAAAGUUUUUAAGUUUGAAAGAUUAAUGUGUCAGCAUAUCAUUUGCUUGUGAAUUUAAAAUAAAUUCAAACAUAUACAUCUUUAGAUGAUAACUAGUUAUUUCAAUUCCUGGACUUUCUAUCUUGAUAUUUUCCUUUAUUAUCUGUAAAAUUUAAUGAUUGUCUUUUUUAGUUUAGUUGAACUAGUUUCUUAUUAGCAUGUGAAAAUGGCAUCAUCCAAAUAAGUUCAUCUACAUUUUAUAUGUAGGAGAGAAUGAAUUUUUCAUCACAGGGAAAGAAAGAGAUUGUCUUGUAUAAUAUAAUGCAUUGGUACACAAAAAUAUCUUUCAAUUUCUAACAUGUUUCAUUUUUGUUACAUGGAAUGAUAAGUUCUGUUGAUUUCCUACCAAAGACAUACUAGUAGAGUAAUAAAUGUAUAUGAUGUGUCAGAAAAGCAUGUGGAAACCUAAUGACUUUAUCAUUUCUGAUUAAAAAUCAAAUUAUGAGUUUCAUCUUUGUUACAUUAUUAAAAAAUUCUAAGUAGAGCAUACACCAGAAACUCUUAAAAUGAUCUCUACUGUUCAAUCUGAGUCUCAGGGUUUAACAGUACAUAACAAUUCCAAAUGAUUUUGGACGCUUUUUUAUGUAUCAAAAAGACAAAACAGAAUAUCUGUUCACAGAUGUUCCAAAGGAAAACAACCACAAAGAAAAGAUUUGUUAUGUUCUUUAUGUGAUUCAUGUAAAAUGUAUUUUAAAAGUGUAGCAUAACAUUCAUCUUUUGCAUAAAUACUUUUUUUUUUUGUGGAGAUUUUUUUUUAUAUUUUUGAAAAAAAGUAGUCUUAUUGUAUAAUAGGGUUAGCUUAAAAUCUUGUAGACUUUAAAGUUGUACAUGAUGUGUUACACAUCUUGCAUAUUUUCAUUUCAGGGUAUUCAGCAUAUAUUGUGGUUUUGUCUUAAAUUUGUUUGCUUAUGUAAUCAAUAAUUUGAGAAUACUCAAAUUAGAAAAUGUAUGAGAGAAUAGGCAAGAAAAUGAGGUUAAAAAUGUUUUUACUACAAAGGGGUUAAUCUAUAUAUUUAAUCUAUAAGUACAAUCAGUCUAUACAUUUAAGGUAUUUCUGUAUGAAAUAAACUUACAUUUGAGUAUUUUAAGACAAUUGUAAACAUUAAUUUAACCAGUUUUGAAAAAAUGAUUAGAUUCACUGUCAGCAUGUUAUUUCUUGUAAAAUAAAAAGAAAACAAACAAUUUUA